ACGCUCGACACCUACGGGAGCAGCAGUGGGGAAUAUUGCACAAUGGGGGAAACCCUGAUGCAGCGACGCCGCGUGAGCGAAGAAGUAUCUCGGUAUGUAAAGCUCUAUCAGCAGGGAAGAAGAUGACGGUACCUGACUAAGAAGCACCGGCUAAAUACGUGCCAGCAGCCACGGUAAUCUGAGCGGGCUGGCAAGGC
rnacentral:rRNA from 1 species